rnacentral:rRNA from 1 species
AGUGAACGCUGGCGGUAGGCCUAACACAUGCAAGUCGAACGGCAGCACAGUAAGAGCUUGCUCUUACGGGUGGCGAGUGGCGGACGGGUGAGGAAUACAUCGGAAUCUACUUUUUCGUGGGGGAUAACGUAGGGAAACUUACGCUAAUACCGCAUACGACCUACGGGUGAAAGCAGGGGAUCUUCUGACCUUGCGCGAUUGAAUGAGCCGAUGUCGGAUUAGCUAGUUGGCGGGGUAAAGGCCCACCAAGGCGACGAUCCGUAGCUGGUCUGAGAGGAUGAUCAGCGACACUGGAACUGAGACACGGACCAGAGUACUACGGGAGGCAGCAGUGGGGAAUAUUGGACAAUGGGCGCAAGCCUGAUCCAGCCAUACCGCGUGGGUGAAGAAGGCCUUCGGGUUGUAAAGCCCUUUUGUUGGGAAAGAAAAGCAGCAGGUUAAUACCCCGCUGUUCUGACGGUACCCAAAGAAUAAGCACCGGCUAACUUCGUG